GCCAGGCCGUGGCGGCGUCGUUCUCGACUCCGGCGCCGCCGGAGGCUGAGCACCGUGGCGUCGCCGCUGCCGCCGCCGCCGCGGCUCUCCAGAUGAGGGGGGGGGGGGAGGGAGAGGCGGAUCAUAUCGGAGAUGGAGCGCACGGUGGUGGCCGGCGUCGAUCGGCUCAAUGCGAGCCACGGGGGCACUCUCCCGACUUCUCAUGGUCCCCGAUCCCCUCGCCCUCGCCGACCUGGGCGGCGCGUGUAUGGCAACGGCGGUGGCAGUCGGACUACCAUUACAACCAAACGAAACCAAUGCUGCUGCUGCUACUGCGGCAGGCAGCCUCCGAGCAGGUCGAGGUCCUCCCGGCUCCCGAGCUUUGCAAGGCCAAAGUCCGAAAUCUUUGGGCUGAAGCUGUGGUCUAGCAAAAUGUUGUGAGGCUUGAUAUCAAAGUGGAGGAUGCGCUGGCUGCACCCUUGAUUGAAUUAUUAGGCAUGAAUUCAUAAAUAAGAGCAUGCCUUGUUCCUUCGGAGCAAAAUCCCAAGAGGCGGACAACAUUGACAUGAUGGAUUCUCCCUAUGGUUGCUACUUCAUUGAUGAACUCUUCCCCCUCUCCUUUUGAGUUCUCAAGCAUCUUUACAGCAACAGGGUAUCAUGAUCUCUGUCGAAACCACUUUGCAGUAUAACGGGAGAAUUGACACAAAUGCAUAAGGGGCUACCAAGUACAGGGACUGGCUUGCAUUGCUGAGGCAAGAAAUCGGGCCAAAAAUGCUGUCUGU